GGGUUGUGAGGUUAAGCGACUAAGCGUACACGGUGGAUGCCCUGGCAGCCAGAGGCGAUGAAGGGCGUGC
rnacentral:rRNA from 1 species